CACCUCCACCCACCCCUAAUACACACACCCCGCCUAUUGUUAUAAGAACAAUCAAGUGCCUCUAUAACAAUCUACUGAUUAUACUUUUGCGUGGAACUUAGGCACUUUAUAUUUCAUCUUGCUACGCUACGAAAAUGGAAACAUCAGCCAGAACUAUAAUUUGUACUGGAUCGUGCUUUAAUAUCACUAUACGCUCAUACAUAAGUACCAUAGAUGGUUGGGUAUGUUGCGUGGGGAGCCCAACAUCCAUUUUGAAAGAUACAGAUUUAUUGGUCAUCUGACUUUAGGAGCACAUGCAUGCAGGAUACUUCCAAUUCUAGAAAUCCAAUAUAUCUAUGUGGAAUUCCACUUACAAGAGUAUUUCAUUUUCGGCGUAAGGCUUCAUUUCCGGGGCAUUUUUCUAUUUAUUGCAUCGUGUGAAAGUAGAUAAUAGCAUUACCUACCAAAAUAAUUGAAUGGGCGUAAAUCGCCUGGAGAGCAUCUAAUCUGGCUCUUAACACACAUCAUCGUACUCAUCACGCCGAAAACACAUGUAGGUAGGUUUCUAAACUGUGACAAAAUUCCUAUUCCAACGGUCACAUGGCGGUCAAGUUAUCAGGAAAGUGGCGUCCUCAUUGAUGUUGAUCGUUUGGAUUUGAAUUUGUAUACGCGUAUGGAGGAGCAUCGAACGGGCAGUGGACACAUUCAACCAGGUGGCAGCGAAGUGGAGCGGCUGGCCUGCUGAUAAUCGUCUAUCGUUUGAUAUGGGUUGAACAUUUCAAGUGUUCCACUGGGGAGAAUCCGCUUUGCACCCGGUUCCUUGUUUUGUGUUAAUGCAAUAGAGGUGUUUUUCCCUAGAUAACAUUCUAUUUUGUUUCAAGUAUGGCACUGCACAUACACACAAGCCAUGGUUCGACGAUAAUUUACAGAUAAUUUCCACUCAUCAUAUCCUCAGAAUGGAUUAGUGCUUUGGGUACAUUCAAGUCUUUAUUACGUCGCAUACAAAAGUGUUUACAGUUUCAGUUUAGCCGCAUUUAUGGCAUAGCUGCAGGAUGAUCGAAAUGGUGUUAUA